rnacentral:piRNA from 1 species
UNGCUUAUCAUGGUCAAGCCUGUGCCUUUUC